UGGUGUUAUGUACUCAGGUGAAUAUGAUGCUUGUGAUGUUACUCUGAUAAUGGACACUCAGAGAGUAACAUCACAAACAUCAUAUUCACCUGAGUACAUA